rfam:Camelus ferus unplaced genomic scaffold scaffold1095, whole genome shotgun sequence.
GAGGGUGUAGCUCAGUGGUGGAGCGCAUGCGUAGCACGCACAAGGUCCUGGGUUCAAUCCCCACUACCUCCA